AUAUAUAUAUAUAUGUGUGUGUGUGUGUGUGUGUGUGUGUGUGUGUAUGUAUAAAUAUACAUACAUACAUACACACACAUAUAUACACAUAUAUAC
rnacentral:pre_miRNA from 11 species